CCUACGGGAGGCAGCAGUAGGGAAUAUUGCUCAAUGGGGGAAACCCUGAAGCAGCAACGCCGCGUGGAGGAUGAAGGUUUUCGGAUUGUAAACUUCUUUUGUCAGAGAAGAUAAUGACGGUAUCUGACGAAUAAGCACCGGCUAACUCCGUGCCAGCAGCCGCGGUAAUACGUAGGGUGCAAGCGUUACUCGGAUUCACUGGGCGUAAGAGGGCGUAGGCGGGAGAGCAAGUCCGAUGUGAAAUCCCAUGGCUUAACCAUAGAACUGCCUUUGAAACUGUUAUUCUAGAGUAUGGGAGAGGUAGGUGGAAUUCUUGGUGUAGGGGUAAAAUGCGUAGAGAUCAAGAGGAAUACUCAUUGCGAAGGCGACCUGCUAGAACAUAACUGACGCUGAUGCGCGAAAGCGUGGGGAGCAAACAGGAUUAGAUACCCUAGUAGUC
rnacentral:rRNA from 1 species